GAUGAACGCUGGCGGCGUGCCUAAUACAUGCAAGUCGAGCGAACAGACGAGGAGCUUGCUCCUCUGACGUUAGCGGCGGACGGGUGAGUAACACGUGGAUAACCUACCUAUAAGACUGGGAUAACUUCGGGAAACCGGAGCUAAUACCGGAUAAUAUAUUGAACCGCAUGGUUCAAUAGUGAAAGACGGUUUUGCUGUCACUUAUAGAUGGAUCCGCGCCGCAUUAGCUAGUUGGUAAGGUAACGGCCUACCAAGGCGACGAUGCGUAGCCGACCUGAGAGGGCGAUCGGCCACACUGGAACUGAGACACGGUCCAGACUCCUACGGGAGGCAGCAGUAGGGAAUCUUCCGCAAUGGGCGAAAGCCUGACGGAGCAACGCCGCGUGAGUGAUGAAGGUCUUCGGAUCGUAAAACUCUGUUAUUAGGGAAGAACAAAUGUGUAAGUAACUAUGCACGUCUUGACGGUACCUAAUCAGAAAGCCACGGCUAACUACGUG
rnacentral:rRNA from 1 species